GCUAUAACAGUAGUCGUUGCGAAAAAUAAACCAUUGGGUAUUGCAGCAACAAUAACUGUGGCCAAAAAUAACAGUGUGUGUAGCAAUAAUAUCAUUAGUCGUCGCAAAACAUAUAUGAAAAUUAAAAAUGAAUCAUAUACCCGUGCCCAUUCCUUAUUCCUUCAAUUUUCUUGUUCUAAAAACAAAAACCCUACCUCCUUCCCUCUCACAAGUCUCACUGCAUUCAUACCUAGGUCUAUGAAGUAUAUUCGGCGGUAAUUAUAGUGAAGGGCUCCGGUGACACAUCUUUAUCUCGACAAUAACUUUAAUCUCCGGCGACACUGCUUCACCAUUUGAGGUUUAUUGAGCAGUUCGAUUUCUAGAUUUAUUGAAGAGUUCACUUUCUGGGUUGAUUGAAGAGUUCGGUUUCUGGGUUAAUUCAAGGGUACGAUUUGAAGAAUUUGUAAUUGAGAUGUAAUAGCCCUCCAUUGAAAGCGACUUCGUCACGAUGAACUCAAAGCCCUUAUGUGCUGCUGGAGCUGCCGGAGCUCUGCUUUUGCUAGUGGAUAAUGGUGGAGCUGCUGCUUUUGCUUUAUUGACUAUGCUUUUGCUCUGUUGGAGCUUGUAAAAAGGAAUGAAGGGAACUGUACAGUAACAAUAUCAGUGGGCCAACACCUAGUGACAAAUUUGGUCAGUUUGGAUCUUUAUUUGAACAGUUUCAGCAGUCUAAUUCCGGAGUCUUUAGGCAGGCUACCAAAGUUGUGCUUUCUGCAAUAAUGCAACAUCAUGGUCAUUCAUUUGGAGGUAUGACGAAUGGAUUUAUUGCAAGCUAAGUUCACAAAGUACAUGCAAUUGUAAUAUUUUGAAGCUUGAAGAUGGGGAAAACUUAGAAUAUAUUGCUCAAAUAUAUAGUAUAGUGAAAUAUUUUGUAUAUUAAGGAAUUAAAGAGUCCUUAUUUUUUAGUUAUUAUGACAUGAUAAAUAUUCAAACAUACGAUGUAUUUGACAGGCUUUAAAAAGCAAGCUUAUAUUAAUAUAUAAUUUAUAUUAUUA